rnacentral:rRNA from 1 species
AUUGAACGCUGGCGGCAUGCUUUACACAUGCAAGUCGAACGGCAGCGGGGAGGAGCUUGCUUCUCUGCCGGCGAGUGGCGAACGGGUGAGUAAUACAUCGGAACGUGUCGAGAAGAGGGGGAUAACCACCUGAAAGGGUGGCUAAUACCGCAUAAAUUCUGAGGAAGAAAGCUGGGGACCUAGGAAUAGGCCUAGCGCUUUUUGAGCGGCCGAUGUCGGAUUAGCUAGUUGGUGAGGUAAAGGCUCACCAAGGCGAAGAUCUGUAGCGGGUCUGAGAGGAUGAUCCGCCACACUGGGACUGAGACACGGCCCAGACUCCUACGGGAGGCAGCAGUGGGGAAUUUUGGACAAUGGGGGCAACCCUGAUCCAGCCAUGCCGCGUGUAUGAAGAAGGCCUUAGGGUUGUAAAGUACUUUUGUUAGGGAAGAAAAGUCAGCUGUGAAUAAUGGCUGAUACUGACGGUACCUAAAGAAUAAGCACCGGCUAACUACGUG